rnacentral:tRNA from 1 species
GCUUAUAAAGCUAAUAUUAGCGUCGGUCUUGUAAACCGAAGGCUGAGGUCUCCCUCUGUAAGCU